GUUGAUUCGGUGAUAAUUCAAGUUGAAUAUUGAGGAAGCAUUCCAGUUCCUCCAACUUUUAAUAGUUCAUAUCUUCAAAACGAUGAGAUGUAAAAAAAUAUUUGCGAUUCCUCGUGGACCAUUUUCGGACUGAAAUCUACAAUGGAGCAAAAUUAUUGUGCUUAUCUGGUCCUUAUUUUGGGAUGUAUUUGGAGCAUGAAAUUAGCGAACUGGGAAGCUUCAUCUAUAAAAAUCCAUCAGUUGUCAUGGGUAGCUCCACUUCAUCUAUAGCUAGCAAAAGACUUCUUUUUGCUCCAUUACUCUUUGGACUCGAGAGGACUUUUAUGACCAUGACUUUUUGGUUUGAUAUAUCUUAUAAUGGUGGUGCUUCUUCUCUCCAAAUCAAUGCCUACUACAAUACUUGCCCUGAAGUUGAAAGAAUCAUUUAUUCAAAGGUCCACGAAUGGCUGCAUCGCUUCUUCAUCUCCAUUUCCAUGAUUGUUUUGUUAAUCCGUUGUAGGGUUGCGAUGCUUCUGUGUUGUUGGAUGAUACAACUGGGUUUGAUGGAGAAAAGACUGCAGUACCCAACUUGAAUUCUCUGAGAGGGUUUGAAGUGGUUGAUGCAAUAAAAUCUGAACUUGAAUCUAUAUGUCCUUAGACUGCUUCCUGUGCUGACAUUCUUGCUACUGCUGCAAGAGACUCCGUUGUUCUGUUCGGUGGACCGGGUUGGGAUGUGCUGAUGGGUAGAAAGGAAAGCUUGACUGCUAGGAAAACAGAUGCCAACAACAACAUUCCAGCCCCAAAUUCAGACUUAAACACACUCAUCACCAAAUUCCAAAACGUUGGACUCGGCUCGACCCGACCGACAUGGUGCGCACACCAUCGGCAAGCUAGGUGUUCAUCCUUUAGCUCCAGUCUUCAAGGCCGUAGUACUCGCAACUCCGAUGGACAAAGGUUAUUUUGUUAAACUGAGAACACUAUUUUAAAUGGCAGAAUGAAGAAAUACUAAGACAAAAAUUAUCUUGUCUACAUCUCCAAAAUCUACCUUUUUGGGUUUUCUGUUCAUAUCUAGGAAGGGUAAUAGAGUGACUGACAAACUAGAAAAAGGAAGCAAGGAAGUCUGGCCGGAAUCAAGACUGGAACUCCAACACUUUAAUGUUAUACCUUAAAGUUUUUAUUUACAUAUAGACUUAAUAUAGAGAUCUAAAAGAGAGACUCAGAUUUUCAAAAUUAUCACAAUGAUUGCUCCUCUCAAAACUAAAGUUACAAAGGAGAUUCCUAAGUUGUUUUGGUUUUUCUCAGAUGAAAGUUGUGACGUUUCCGCUUCACACAAAGGAGAUUUUGGUUUGUAUACCCGCAAACACGAAUUCUCAGGUGAUGUGCAUCUGCGCCAUUGACGUGUUACAAUUGUUGAGAUGUAGAUCUGAAUAAUUGGUUUAAGUUUUGAGGGUGUAUUUAGAUCUGAUUAUGGUAGUAUUUGUAAAUCUACUUCAUCUGUAAAUGUUGUUAGUUUAUUCUGAAUCUGAUUAGUCCUCUGUUAAAUGAUAAGAAUCAAUCUCAGUUGGAUUAGUCCUACUAGUUUAUUCUUAUAAUUUUCUCAGUCUUUCUUCUUUUAUAUAUCAAGAUUUCUACAUACACAGAAAAAUAGUUUUGUACUAGCCAUGGAGAACCAAAAUGUGGAUGAUGGUUUAUUAGGGUUUUUACCCAUAAACCUACCAAACCGGGCCAAAACCGAUUUGAAUCUAUCAUAGCCGUGGAAUUAUGUCUAUUUGAUCCUAUCCAUCCAUGGAGACUAUAAAAAUCCCUAAACCUAAAACAAAUGUGUAGUAGGGUUUGGGUUGCAUAAUAGGUGCAUGUAAAAUUAUACUCCUCAUGGACCAUUUUCAGACUGAUGAUUACAAUUGAGCAAAAUCACUCUGCUAUCUGGUCUUUAUAAUGUGAUGAAUGUUGCUAGUACCUAAAUAUAAUUUUUCGUUCUGCCUAUCUUUUUAUCCUAUUUCUAAACUUGGUAAAGCACAAUUUAUUCAAGGACUGUCAAUCAGAAAGUCAUA